rnacentral:rRNA from 1 species
UGGGGAAUAUUGCACAAUGGGGGAAACCCUGAUGCAGCGACGCCGCGUGGAGGAAGAAGGUCUUCGGAUUGUAAACUCCUGUUGUUGAGGAAAAAAGAGGAUGGUACUCAACAAGGAAGUGACGGCUAACUACGUGCCAGCAGCCGCGGUAAAACGUAGGUCACAAGCGUUGUCCGGAAUUACUGGGUGUAAAGGGAGCGCAGGCGGGUAUGCAAGUUGGGAGUGAAAUACAUGGGCUCAACCCAUGAACUGCUCUCAAAACUGUGUAUCUUGAGUAGUGCAGAGGUAGGCGGAAUUCCCGGUGUAGCGGUGGAAUGCGUAGAUAUCGGGAGGAACACCAGUGGCGAAGGCGGCCUACUGGGCACCAACUGACGCUGAGGCUCGAAAGUGU